rnacentral:rRNA from 1 species
AGCUCAAAUUUGAAAUCUGGCCUCUUUCGGGGUCCGAGUUGUAAUUUGUAGAGGAUGCUUUUGAUGCGGUGCCUUCCGAGUUCCCUGGAACGGGACGCCAUAGAGGGUGAGAGCCCCGUCUGGUUGGAUGCCAAAUCUCUGUAAAGCUCCUUCAAC